ensembl:lncRNA
GCUGAUUAUGUGGCACAUCAGAGUACUCACACACCCAACAAGAAAACAUUUGGAGAAUGUGUUGAAGUUGCCCAGAAGGAUUACCAGGUGUCUAAAGUUUGCCAGGGUAGAUUUUGGGAACAGAGACAGCAGCCUACACUUCACCACCAUCUUGAGAGCUACAGAUCAAACUCCAUCCAGUGACUGCUCGACAUCAUGGCCCCAAACCCAGGAAAGCAUGAAGUCUUGAUGAGGAGCUGAAAACACCAGCUGAGCAUCCUCACUGUGUAUUAUGGACUCUCUAACCUGUGGUCAUGUGCACCAUUCAUUUGCAUCGGAAUUUUGGUCUUAGGCCUAUUUUUGUGCUUAGGUAUCUAUCACCUUACUGUCUUGACCUCUCUGUUGCUAGAAGGGUGGAUUUGCUAACCAAACACAGUCUCAGGUCCUUUUGACUUAAGCAAAAGUGAACAGAAUUAUAACUGCUCGUUUCAUACACUCCCUUUUGGAUAAUAGUGACAGGAAGGCUAGGCCUGGAACUUGCACUGUGCAACACUUGUUUCCUGUGUGCUGACAUCUGACACACACACUAUAAGGGAAGGGCCAGAACGUUUAUCCCGUUAGAAGAGGCAGGU